GGCUGGGGUAUAGGGUAUAGGGCUGGGAUAUAGGGCUGGGGUAUAGGGCUGGGAUAUAGGGUAUAGGGCUGGGAUAUAGGGCUGGGUUAUAGGGUAUAGGGCUGGGAUAUAGGGUAUAGGGCUGGGAUAUAGGGCUGGGGUAUAGGGCUGGGGUAUAGGGUAUAGGGCUGGAAUAUAGAGCUGGGGUAUAGGGUAUAGGGCUGGGAUAUUGGGCUGGGGUAAAGGGUAUAGGGCUGGAAUAUAGGGCUGGGGUAUAGGGCUGGGGUAUAGGGUAUAGGGCUGGGGUAUAGGGUACAGGGCUGGGCUAUAGGGCUGGGGUAUAGGGCUGGGAUAUAGGGCUGGGGUAUAGGGCUGGGAUAUAGGUUAUAGAGCUGGGAUAUAGGGUAUAGGGUUGGGAUAUAGGGCUGGGGUAUAGGGCUGGGGUAUAGGGUAUAGGGCUGGGGUAUAGGGCUGGGAUAUAGGGCUGGGGUAUAGGGCUGGGAUAUAGGGUAUAGGGCUGGGGUAUAGGGUUUAGGGCUGGGGUAUAGGGCUGGGGUAUAGGGUAUAGGGCUGGGAUAUAGGGUAUAGGGCUGGGAUAUAGGGUAUAGGGCUGGGAUAUAGGGCUGUGGUAUAGGGCUGGGAUAUAGGGGGCUGGGAUAUAGUGUAUAGGGCUGGGAUAUAGGGCUGGGGUAUAGGGCUGGGGUAUAGUGUAUAGGGCUGGGGUAUAGGGCUGGGGAAUAGGGCUGGGAUAUAGGGUAUAGGGCUGGGGUGUAGGGCUGGGGUAUAGGGCCAGGGUAUAGGGUAUAGGGCUGGGGUAUAGGGCUGGGGUAUAGGG
ensembl:lncRNA